CGGGUAAUUGGACUUCAGCGCGCAUCAGCCACGUCGCUCACGGCAGCCCGCAGGCGGAUUGGCUGCGGCAGAGGAGCGCGAUUGGCCAGAUUUCAAAGCGAGCGUUGAUUGGUGAGAACGCGCUGUGGGGGCGGGGCAAGCGGCUGCAGAAAAGUGACCCGCUAGGAGGCUGCGCCGAGGGAGCGACGGUGCGGCGGCGCGGGCUAGGUGCGAGGCGAGGCGCGCAGCGCGCUACUCUGGAGGAGCGGAUGUUAAGUCAGAGUACAGCAGAAAAUGUCCACCGAACGAACUUCAUGGACAAACCUGUCCACUAUUCAGAAAAUAGCCCUGGGCCUCGGAAUUCCAGCAAGUGCAACAGUUGCCUACAUUCUCUAUCGUCGAUAUAGGGAAAGCAGAGAAGAGAGAUUGACAUUUGUUGGAGAAGAUGACAUUGAGAUAGAGAUGCGAGUUCCCCAGGAGGCUGUGAAGCUCAUCAUUGGUCGACAAGGAGCCAAUAUUAAACAGUUGCGGAAACAGACAGGCGCUCGGAUUGAUGUAGACACAGAGGAUGUAGGUGAUGAGCGAGUGCUGCUUAUCAGUGGUUUUCCUGUUCAGGUGUGCAAGGCCAAAGCAGCAAUCCAUCAGAUCCUGACAGAGAACACCCCAGUGUUUGAGCAACUCUCAGUCCCUCAAAGAUCUGUGGGCAGAAUCAUAGGGAGAGGUGGUGAGACGAUCCGUUCUAUCUGUAAGGCUUCUGGAGCCAAAAUCACUUGCGACAAAGAAUCAGAGGGGACAUUACUACUCUCACGACUUAUUAAAAUCUCAGGAACACAGAAGGAAGUGGCAGCAGCUAAGCAUCUGAUACUGGAGAAAGUUUCAGAAGAUGAAGAACUUCGGAAGAGAAUUGCACAUUCUGCAGAAACCAGAGUCCCACGAAAGCAGCCAAUCAGCGUGAGAAGAGAAGAAGUGACAGAGCCUGGUGGAGCUGGAGAAGCAGCUCUAUGGAAAAAUACCAAUUCUAGCAUAGGACCAGCUACACCCCUCGAAGUUCCUCUCUGCAAAGGAGGUGGUGAUAUGGUUGUUGUAGGACCAAAAGAAGGUUCCUGGGAGAAACCUAAUGAUGACAGCUUUCAGAAUUCUGGUGCCCAGAGCAGUCCAGAGACGUCCAUGUUUGAAAUUCCCAGUCCUGACUUCAGUUUCCAUGCUGAUGAGUACCUAGAAGUCUACGUUUCUGCUUCUGAACACCCUAACCACUUCUGGAUCCAAAUCAUUGGUUCCCGCAGCCUACAGUUGGAUAAACUUGUCAGUGAGAUGACCCAGCACUAUGAGAAUAGUCUGCCUGAAGACUUGACUGUACAUGUAGGAGACAUUGUAGCAGCACCUUUAUCUACAAAUGGUUCCUGGUAUCGAGCCCGAAUUCUUGGAACCUUGGAAAAUGGAAACUUGGACCUCUACUUUGUUGACUUUGGAGAUAAUGGAGACUGCCCACUAAAGGAUCUUAGGGCUCUCAGGAGUGACUUUCUAAGCCUCCCGUUUCAAGCAAUAGAGUGCAGUCUGGCGCGGAUCGCCCCCUCAGGUGAAGAGUGGGAAGAGGAAGCUCUAGAUGAGUUUGACAGACUCACUCACUGUGCUGACUGGAAGCCCCUGGUGGCCAAGAUUUCUAGCUAUGUCCAGACUGGAAUCUCAACUUGGCCAAAGGUCUAUUUAUAUGAUACCAGCAAUGGGAAGAAGCUUGAUAUUGGGCUAGAAUUAGUUCGUAAAGGGUAUGCAGUUGAACUUCCUGAAGACAUGGAAGAAAACAGAACUGUCCCAGAUAUGUUGAAGGACAUGGCCACAGAAACAGAUGAUUCUCUUGCAAGCAUACUCACUGAAACAAAAAAGAGCCCUGAAGAGAUACCACAUACCCUGUCCUGCCUCAGCUUGUCAGAAGCUGCCUCUGUGUCUGGUGAUGAUAACCUUGAAGACGACUUAUUCUGAAGUCAGGGAUUCAGCUGCUGGAUCAGCCAUCCACUUUGCAGUGUGAGUGGUGCUGUCAUCUAUCUGUAGCAACAGGGUGUGGUGCUGGGAGAGAGGAGUCUAUGAUAGAGAUCCAUGAAGUCCUUUACUUCACGACGUGGUGUGGCUUGCUGUAGAUGAAAUCCAUUUUCUGUUUCAUUGGAUCUACCUGAAAGUGACAGACAGAUUUCUCCACUUCAGUCCUCUGAUUUCUCCCCUUUCUUUCAAUGUUUGAAUGCUGCUGUGUAAUUCCCAGCCUCUUCAUAUCAGGCUCAGUUCCUGCUGCCAGUAAUAAUUUGCAUUACUGCUGGGCUAUGUUCUUUUUGAGGCUGGGAAACAGCCAAGGUUUGGGCAUUGGAAGUGAUGAUUCUGCAGAUUUCUGACUCACCUUAUCAGGUGACUGUAGUUAUAGGAAGUAUUUGGUCGACUCAAAAGACUGCAGUUGUCAGGAGAUAGGGCAAAAUCAGCAUAAAUAUAUUUAAAGCCUCAUAAAAGGGGAAGAGAGUACUACCUCUCACCCUCAGUUGCUGAGGUUAUUGGAGACAAGUUUUUUUGAAACAGUCCUCCAGCUAUUUCUUUGUGAACUUUAGUUAAAAUACAACUAGAAGGGAGAAGCAACUUAGGAAAUGUUGUAAACUGCAAAUAUCUCUGUAUACACACAACUAGAGAGAGAGAGUGAGUGUAUAGUUCUGCUUAAAUAAUUUGGGGGAUUGUUUGCUAAAUAAAGUUCUCAAAAAAUUAUCUAAAACCACAUA